UACGAGGGGGGCAAGCGUUGUUCGGAUUUAUUGGGCGUAAAGGGUGCGUAGGCGGUUUGGCAAGUUUGAUGUGAAAUCUAUGGGCUCAACCCAUAGUCUGCAUCAGAAACUGCCGGGCUUGAGUAUGGGAGAGGUGAGUGGAAUUUCCGGUGUAGCGGUGAAAUGCGUAGAUAUCGGAAGGAACACCUGUGGCGAAAGCGGCUCACUGGACCAUAACUGACGCUGAUGCACGAAAGCUAGGGGAGCAAACAGG
rnacentral:rRNA from 1 species